GAUGAACGCUGGCGGCGUGCCUAAUACAUGCAAGUCGAGCGAAUGGAUUAAGAGCUUGCUCUUAUGAAGUUAGCGGCGGACGGGUGAGUAACACGUGGGUAACCUGCCCAUAAGACUGGGAUAACUCCGGGAAACCGGGGCUAAUACCGGAUAACAUUUUGAACCGCAUGGUUCGAAAUUGAAUGGCGGCUUCGGCUGUCACUUAUGGAUGGACCCGCGGCCCAUUAGCUAGUUGGUGAGGUAAGGGCUCACCAAGGCAACGAUGCGUAGCCGACGUGAGAGGGUGAUCGGCCACACUGGGACUGACACACGGCCCAGACUCCUACGGGAGGCAGCAGUAGGGAAUCUUCCGCAAUGGACGAAAGUCUGACGGAGCAACGCCGCGUGAGUGAUGAAGGCUUUCGGGUCGUAAAACUCUGUUGUUAGGGAAGAACAAGUGCUAGUUGAAUAAGCUGGCACCUUGACGGUACCUAACCAGAAAGCCACGGCUAACUACGUGCCAGCCGCCGCGGUAA
rnacentral:rRNA from 1 species